CCCCAUUAUCCCCCAUGUUGUUCCACCUCCUUGUGGGAGGAGCCAGGCGAGGCCACAGAUCAGACUCCUCCAUCUCAUCCCACCAACUCUGUCAGUCCACCAGGCCACUGCAGUAACAGCCAUAUCUUCACAUCACGUAGCUUCAGUACCAUCUCAAUGUGUUGAAGCACCAUCCUGGAUCCUGUGGCAACGUCAAUAUGAAACAGCAUUGACCCGUGAUCACCACCAACCAGGGCUCCACAGCGGUGUCCUUUGAUGGCCAGGAUUUGCUCAAGAUCAACUAAAGGAGAUUUGGAUGGCCCCUUGUCAGUGGCCCUAGGAGUGAAGGGCCCG